UGUGAAAUUGAGAAUCAUGAUAAAAUCCUCAUACCUCCUCCUCUUUUGACCAAAUCUUUCUAAAAUGCACAAUUAUAAUUUCUUAUCUUUAGGAAAAAGUAAUUAUGUUAUAUGUGUUAUAUACACUAUGUAAAUAUAGUUCAUUAAAUCAUUCUUUGGUGUUUGAAGACUUUCUAAUUCAUUACUUCAUUCCAGACAUCAAUGACAACAGCACAUACCGAGCAGGUACACAUAUGAGCUACCUACUAAUAUGCCCUGAUUUUGAUUGUAUUUUGUGAAAACCUUGGUAUGGGUUAUUUUUAAAUGAAUGUUUUCCCAAAUUUUAAGCUGAAACUAGGAUGCAUCAAAAUUAUCUUGGUCAUAAUCUUGUCAAUGAUGUCAUCUAAAGGCCACCAGGAACACACCUGUAGCCCAGCAAAGUUGAGGCCAUCGACUGGCUCAUCACAACAAGGAAGGCUGUGCACCACUGGGACCCAGCAGCAGCUCAGCAGCAGCAGUGAGAGGGCCUUGGGAAAGACUUGGAGGGUUUGGCUUAUACAAGGUGAUCUUGGGGAGGGUCAAGGAAACAGGCUGUGAUGGUUAAUAUUGAGUGUCAACUUGAUUGGAUUGAAGGAUGCAAAGGAUUGUUCCUGGGUGUAUAUGUGAGAGUGUGGCCAAAGGAGAUUAACAUUUUAGUCAGUGGACUGGGAGAGGCACACCCACCCUCAAUCUGGGUGGGCAUCAUCUAAUCAGCUGCCACAGCAGCUAAAAUAAAGCAGGCAGAAGUUGGAAUGAGCAGACUUGCUGAGUGUUCCAGCCUUCAUCUUUCUCCCAUGCUGGAUGCUUCCUGCCCUCGAACAUCAGACUCCAAGUUCUUCAGCUUUUUUUUUUUUUUUUGGACUCUUGGACUUACAGCAUUGGUUUGCCAGGGGCUCCCAGGCCUCUAGCCGCAGACUGAAGGCUGCACUGUGAGCCUCCCUACCUUUGAAGUUUGGGACUCAGACUGGCUUCUUGGCUCCUCAGCUUGCAGUCGGCCUAUUGUGAGACUUCCCCUUGUGAUCAUGUGAGCCAAUUCUCCUGAUAAACUCACCUUCAUAUAUACAUCUAUCCUAUUAGUUCUAUCCGUUUAGAGAACCCUGACUAAUACACAGGCCAUGCUCAGAUGGAGUGCUGUCUGGAAAUGGGAGUAAUUCUGUGGUUGAAUGUCUUAAUUGUCCUGGAAGGUGGGAGAAAUGGAAUGAGGCUGGUGCUACAAUUGAUGUAAAAGCAGCAGCUGCUCACAUAAGCCGGGGUGGAGGAUGCCUAGGCGUAUUUGUGGUAUUGACCAUGUUCUUGUUUUUGUUUGUGACCAGACCAGAUUACAGAGGGGUAUUGAUUUGCCUUGCCCCCGCCCCCACCAUCACAGUGUGUCCCUGUCCAGUGUUGGUGCUGUGUGGCAUUGCUUGUGUCCAUAGGAGUCCAUCAAGGCAGAGCGGCAGAGCGGCAAGCAGAGCGGCAAGGCAGUUCAACCCAAUGGAAAUGGAUUGAAAGAGUGAAAGUCACUGGUCUCAAAGAAUCUACGGAAUUUAGCAUUUUGAAAAUCACAGAGCAAUUUUGGGUAGGUAUUCACAUGCACUAAAAAACCAGGCAAACAUCUGACUCCCAGGAUAAAGUGACUGAGAGCAGUAGAAGACUUGUUGAGCCUUAAGGAAUAAGAGGAAAAUUAUGUUAUGAAGUGCAGGAACAGCACAGACCCAGACGAGGGGAUGCAGCCCGGAGCCAGUAACCCGGCGCCUCCUCCUCCCCAGGGCGCAGCGCUGGCUGCUCCCCGGAUACCGUGAUCACACGUCCCAGGUCCUGAGAGCGCCUCAUAGGUAGACAGUUCUUUGGGACUUUUGGGACGCAGCACUUGAAGAGAGGUUUACCUAAACUUUCCUCCUGGGAGCCUGUCAUCAUUUGAAAGUAACAGAAGAAAGCUGUCAGGCUGAGGAAAGUUUCAACAGGCACUUGGUGAGAAUGGGAAGCAUCCAUUCAUUGGGAAAUCACGGGGACAGAGGAGGAAUUCACGGGAUCAGAGCACUGAGAAACUCCAGAGGCUUCUGGUUCACCGCCCUGAUUCCACAGAUGUGGGUCAGAGGCAGAGAUGGAAGUUGGAAUGGACAAGCCUGCCCUCUCCUCAGCUCUCCAUGGCUCUGUCCUCAGGCUGUUUCUGCAAUUUGACAUGAGGCCUGGCCCCAGGGAAACCAGUGGGGCCUCAUCUCCUCCCUGUGCUGCUCUGAGGUGGAGCCUUCUCAGGGUCAGUCCAGCUCUGGAGCCCCUCUCCAGCUCGGUCACCAAAGCUGUCUGGUCCCAGGGCAGUGUGGAGUGACAGGCACGCCAGCCAAUCCAAUCGGCCAUUUCAUACCCAAUGCAUGUGACUGAUAAAGAGAUAACACCCUGUCUCCAAGACACAGGCUUUACAUAAACAGCUUUAAUGACUUCUUCACUUAGGGACAAGACUCCUUAGUGGUGGAACCUCAGGCAUCCAUGCAGGAUGUAAGAAAGCUCCCGUAUAUACAUGAACUGAGAAGUGUGUAGAAGAGUAAAUACUGUAAUAGGUAAUAAAAUGUAUGUAUUUUUAUUUAUGUGCUACUUUGUCUUUCUCCCUCUCUGUGUAUAUACACAUACAUACAAAAAUGUAUUCAUUCUAUGGAAAACAUGAAAGAUGUAAUAUUCUUUACAUAUUUAAUUAAUGUAUUUUUUCUGAUCAUAUGAAC
rnacentral:lncRNA from 1 species